UGAUAUGCUCGUAGUAUAGCGAGCAGGAUAAAAAAAAGAAGUAUACAAAUGGA
rfam:Leptotrichia sp. oral taxon 215 str. W9775 genomic scaffold Scaffold21, whole genome shotgun sequence.